rnacentral:lncRNA from 1 species
ACAAUAGAAAACAGAAUUGUAAAGAGGAAGCAUUAGGCUUCUUGAUGCAUAAUGGAGUUCAAACCAGGUCACGUCUUAGUCUACGUUGAUGCCAGCUGGAGUUGAAUUAGUCAGGAGGGCUUGGCCCUCAUAAAGGAGAAAGAUCAUGUCAUCAUGACCAAUUCCAACACUCUCUUUCCUUUCACAGCACAGAUUUGUGCAGACGUAUCAUGAGUCAAAAUAAAAUGGCGAAUUUAAAAUGGGACCACUUGACAGUAUGCUCUUUAGUCCUUUACCCUAUUCUCACGCACUUUAAUAGAGCUCUAAUUGGUUGACCUGACUAAUCUAUUGUUUCUCUUCCUGUAUUCUUCCUCUUGUUUGUCUCCCUCCUACUGUAUGUCUCUCACAGGUUCAUCCUCCCUCUCCUCUCUCUCUCUCUUACAGUGUCAAUGAAGAAUAUGAUCCCUGAUUGAUUGCUUUGUGUCUUUUUGCUCAUUUUUAAUUGAUCUUAGUCAAGUUCAGAAGUUCUAUUUUUGGUCAAAUUUUAUUAUAAGAAGGUACAUUAAAAAUGUGGACUGGAAGCUGCUCUCAAACUGCAAUCGUACCAUGGGACACCAACACAACCUUUAAGUUAUG